AAGAAUUUCCUGCUCAUGUGAGUGAUAAUGACCUGGAGAUCCGUUUCUACUGGGCAGGCAAAGGGACGACCUAUAUCCCAUAUAAAUCAGUAAAUGGUCCUCUUAUAUCUGCCAUUUCUGUCACAUAUGAUGGGUUUUCAUAUUCUGCAGGUGGAACCAGAACAAAAGAAGACUCGACAGGUGGCAUGUCUGCAGGAGAGAUUGUUAUAAUUGCAGUUGCACUGGUGAUUGUUGUCAUCUUGAUUACUGUUAGCGUACUUCGUUGGAGGGUUUUCAUUAGUGGUUGUUGUCAUCUUGGUUGGCAUUCUUUG
rnacentral:sRNA from 1 species